rnacentral:rRNA from 1 species
UUUCCGUAGGUGAACCUGCGGAAGGAUCAUUGUCGACCC